rnacentral:rRNA from 1 species
GACGAACGCUGGCGGCGUGCCUAAUACAUGCAAGUAGGACGCAGUUGCGAACGGGUUAGUAACGCGUAGGUAACUAGCUAUUAGAGGGGGAUAACUAUUGGAAACGAUAGCUAAUACCGCAUACUAGUAGAUGGACCUGCGUUGUAUUAGCUAGUUGGUGGGGUAAUGGCCUACCUAGGCAACGAUACAUAGCCGACCUGGGAAGGUGAUCGGGCACACUGGGAAUGGGACACCGCCCAAGACCCUUAGGGAGGGAACAAGAGGGGAACAUCGGCAAUGGGGGGAACGCUGACCGAGCAACUCCGCGGGAGUGGAGAAAGGUUUCGGGUCGUAAAGCUCUGUUGUUAAGGGAGCGGUACUUAACCAGAAAGGAACGGCUAACUACGUGCCAGCAGCCGCGGUAAUAC